UACGAAGGGGGCGAGCGUUGUUCGGAAUUAUUGGGCGUAAAGCGCGCGCAGGCGGUCCUUUAAGUCUGAUGUGAAAGCCCACGGCUCAACCGUGGAGGGUCAUUGGAAACUGGGGGACUUGAGUACAGAAGAGAAGAGUGGAAUUCCACGUGUAGCGGUGAAAUGCGUAGAGAUGUGGAGGAACACCAGUGGCGAAGGCGACUCUUUGGUCUGUAACUGACGCUGAGGCGCGAAAGCGUGGGGAGCAAACAGG
rnacentral:rRNA from 1 species